rnacentral:rRNA from 1 species
ACUCCUACGGGAGGCAGCAGUGGGGAAUAUUGCACAAUGGGCGCAAGCCUGAUGCAGCCAUGCCGCGUGUAUGAAGAAGGCCUUCGGGUUGUAAAGUACUUUCAGCAGUGAGGAAGGCGGAGUCGUUAAUAGCGGCCUCGUUUGACGUUAGCUGCAGAAGAAGCACCGGCUAACUCCGUGCCAGCAGCCGCGGUAAUACGGAGGGUGCGAGCGUUAAUCGGAAUUACUGGGCGUAAAGCGCAUGCAGGUGGUUUGUUAAGUCAGAUGUGAAAGCCCGGGGCUCAACCUCGGAAUAGCAUUUGAAACUGGCAGACUAGAGUACUGUAGAGGGGGGUAGAAUUUCAGGUGUAGCGGUGAAAUGCGUAGAGAUCUGAAGGAAUACCGGUGGCGAAGGCGGCCCCCUGGACAGAUACUGACACUCAGAUGCGAAAGCGUGGGGAGCAAACAGGAUUAGAUACCCUGGUAGGAUAGCG